AUUGAACGCUGGCGGCAUGCCUUACACAUGCAAGUCGAACGGUAACAGGUUAAGCUGACGAGUGGCGAACGGGUGAGUAAUGUAUCGGAACGUGCCCAGUCGUGGGGGAUAACUCCUCGAAAGAGCAGCUAAUACCGCAAACGACCUUAGGGUGAAAGCGGGGGAUCGCAAGACCUCGCGCGAUUGGAGCGGCCGAUAUCAGAUUAGGUAGUUGGUGGGGUAAAGGCCUAUCGAGCCUACGAUCUGUAGCUGGGAUGAGAGGACGACCAGCCACACUGGGACAGAGACACGGCCCAGACUCCUACGGGAGGCAGGAGUGGGGAAUUUUGAACAAUGGAGGCAUGUCUGAUCCAGCCAUGCCGCGUGCGGGAAGAAGGCUUUCGGGUUGUAAACCGCUUUUGUCAGGGAAGAAAGGGUUCUAGUUAAUACGCUUGGGGGGAUGACGGUACCUGCAUAAUCAGCACCGGCUAACUACGAGCCAGCCGCCGCCGUAAAAC
rnacentral:rRNA from 1 species